UUUCCGUAGGUGAACCUGCGGAAGGAUCAUUCAUAAUAAUUGUAUUCUGGCACUUGUUUAAAUCCAUAUCCACCUUUUGUUCAAUGUCAGUGUUGUCCUCUUUUGAUCACCCUGAAACAUCAACUAUUAUCUCAACUCUUUGUCUGAGAAAUAUCAUGAAUAAAACAAUACAAAAUACAACUUUCAACAACGGAUCUCUUGGUUCUC
rnacentral:misc_RNA from 1 species